AGCGAACGCUGGCGGCAGGCUUAACACAUGCAAGUCGAACGGGCACUUCGGUGCUAGUGGCAGACGGGUGAGUAACGCGUGGGAACGUGCCUUUCGGUUCGGAAUAAUCCAGGGAAACUUGGACUAAUACCGGAUACGCCCUUCGGGGGUAAGAUUUAUCGCCGAAAGAUCGGCCCGCGUCUGAUUAGCUAGUUGGUGAGGUAAAGGCUCACCAAGGCGACGAUCAGUAGCUGGUCUGAGAGGAUGAUCAGCCACAUUGGGACUGAGACACGGCCCAAACUCCUACGGGAGGCAGCAGUGGGGAAUAUUGGACAAUGGGCGCAAGCCUGAUCCAGCCAUGCCGCGUGAGUGAUGAAGGCCUUAGGGUUGUAAAGCUCUUUUGUCCGGGAAGAUAAUGACUGUACCGGAAGAAUAAGCCCCGGCUAACUUCGUGCCAGCCGCCGCGGUAAGAC
rnacentral:rRNA from 1 species